AUUGCAGGCUGCAACUCGCCUGCAUGAAGGCGGAAUUGCUAGUAAUCGCGAAUCAGAAUGUCGCGGUGAAUACGUUCCCGGGCCUUGUACACACCGCCCGUCACACCAUGAGAGUCGAUAACACCCGAAGCCUGUGAGCUAACCUUAGGGAGGCAGCACGUCGAAGGUGGGGUUGAUGAUUACGGGUGAAGUCGUAACAAGGUAGC
rnacentral:rRNA from 1 species